GACAGAGGCCCCAAGCGUUAGGCGGAAUCACUGGGCUUAAAGCGUGUGUAGGCGGAUCGUUAAGUGUCUUGUGAAAUCCCACGGCUCACCCGUGGAACUGCUGGGCAUACUGGCGAUCUUGGGCCAACUAGGGGCAGUCGGAACAAGCGGUGGAGCGGUGAAAUGCGUAGAUAUCGCUUGGAACGCCGAAGGUGAAAACAGACUGCUGGGGUUGCGCCGACGCUGAGGCGCGAAAGCAGGGGAGCAAACGGG
rnacentral:rRNA from 1 species